GCGAGCGAACGGGGAGCAGCCCAGAGUCUUAAUCAGCAUUAGCAUCAGGAGAACGGUCUGGAAAGUCCGGCAGUAAAGGGUGAUAGCCCCGUAUCCGAAGGUGUUAGUGUUGUGAACUCGACGAGUAGGGCGGGACACGUGUUAUCCUGUCUGAAUAUGGGGGGACCAUCCUCCAAGGCUAAAUACUCCUGAUUGACCGAUAGUGAACCAGUACCGUGAGGGAAAGGCGAAAAGAACCCCGGCGAGGGGAGUGAAAUAGAACCUGAAACCGUGUACGUACAAGCAGUGGGAGCCUUGAUUUAUCAGGGUGACUGCGUACCUUUUGUAUAAUGGGUCAGCGACUUAUAUUCUGUAGCAAGGUUAACCGAAUAGGGGAGCCGUAGGGAAACCGAGUCUUAACUGGGCGAAUAAGUUGCAGGGUAUAGACCCGAAACCCGGUGAUCUAGCCAUGGGCAGGUUGAAGGUUGGGUAACACUAACUGGAGGACCGAACCGACUAAUGUUGAAAAAUUAGCGGAUGACUUGUGGCUGGGGGUGAAAGGCCAAUCAAACCGGGAGAUAGCUGGUUCUCCCCGAAAGCUAUUUAGGUAGCGCCUCGUGAACUCAUCUUCGGGGGUAGAGCACUGUUUCGACUAGGGGGUCAUCCCGACUUACCAACUCGAUGCAAACUACGAAUACCGAAGAAUGUUAUCACGGGAGACACACGGCGGGUGCUAACGUUCGUCGUGAAGAGGGAAACAACCCAGACCGCCAGCUAAGGUCCCAAAGUCAUAGUUAAGUGGGAAACGAAGUGGGAAGGCUCAGACAGCCAGGAUGUUGGCUUAGAAGCAGCCAUCAUUUAAAGAAAGCGUAAUAGCUCACUGGUCGAGUCGGCCUGCGCGGAAGAUGUAACGGGGCUAAACUAUGCACCGAAGCUGCGGCAGCGA
rnacentral:rRNA from 1 species